rnacentral:rRNA from 1 species
UACGUAGGGUGCAAGCGUUGUCCGGAAUUAUUGGGCGUAAAGAGCUCGUAGGCGGUCUGUCGCGUCUGCUGUGAAAACUCAGGGCUUAACCCUGAGCUUGCAGUGGGUACGGGCAGACUAGAGUGCGGUAGGGGAGACUGGAAUUCCUGGUGUAGCGGUGAAAUGCGCAGAUAUCAGGAGGAACACCGGUGGCGAAGGCGGGUCUCUGGGCCGUAACUGACGCUCAUGCACGAAAGCGUGGGGAGCAAACAGG